AGAGCUUCCUGUAAGCGAACCCGUGAAGGUUCCAGGAGGAUGGCGCACCCGGAAAGGGCGUGGAAGCUCCGCGCCCCUUCCCACAGACUUUCCCCCAUCCAUCUCUUCAUCUGGUGUUCAUCGAUAGCCUUUGUAAUGUCCUUAAUAGUAAACCGGAAAACGUAAGUGUUUGCCUGGGUUCUAUGAGCUGCUCUAGCAAAUUAAUCAAGCCCAAGGAAGGGGUCAUGGGAACCCCGAUUUACAGCUGGUCAGUCAGAAGCACAGGUAAAACUACCUGGGGCUUGUGAUUGGCAUCUGAAAUGCGGCCGGCCAGUCUUGUAGGCCUGGGCUCUUAAUCUGGGGGAUCUGAUGCUGUCUCCAGGUAGGUAGUGUCAGAAUUGAAUUGGAGGACACCCCAGUGGUGUCUGCUGCAGAAUUGAUUGCUUGCUCGGUGUGUGGGGAGAAACCCCUACACAUUUGGUCGCAGAAAUCUUCUGUGUUGAUUGUUGAGUGAGAGUAUAGGAGAGGCUGAGUUGUUUUUUUGUUUUUGUUUUUGUUUUUUUCUACAAUAGCUAAGUGUUAAAGACUGAAAGUUCAAAAACUUAAGGCAGUCGUAAAAUAUUAGUCAACGCCUGUGAGAAAUGAGGCUGUCCCUUUAUUCAGGGUGUCAGUGUUUAAUGGUAAGCUGGGAUGCAUAUAAGCUAGUCCAAGCAUGAAGGGCAGUAGGACACUCAUAUGAAAAGCCAACUUUGUUCCUCAGUUAUCAAGAUAAGAAACCUGUCAUUUCUCUCAUUCACUCUGUCAGCCUUGAGAUACUCCAAGCAGACUUACCUCUGUGUUGUACACCCCAUAUAUCAGGAAGAUGAAGAGACCCUGUAAAAUAAAAUGGAGGGGAAAAGCUGUUAACGCUAAUCAUUUCAGCAGUAGAAAUACCUGAAAUAAACUUUCCUGGGAACAGACAAAAGAAGACACACUUCAUCAAGGUCAAUUUAUUUUCCUAUUUUUCAACAUUAGAAGGUGUACCUUGAGCAUUUAUAUGAUAACAUAGCAAGCACAUCACUUAUAAUGGUUGUGCUAUUCAAUUCUUUAGAAGUACAAAAUAAAAAUACCAUCCCAAGUACAAAGAAUAUUAAUUAGAAAAAUCAAUAUACCAGUUCUGAAAGAUAGCUGGGUAAUGAAAAAAUUAAACUCAGGAAAUGUUAUUAAAGUAAUCAUAGAAAUAA
rnacentral:lncRNA from 1 species